CUGGGUAACCGAGCGCUCCGGCGCUCACCCCCCACCCUUUGUUUCCCGCCCCUGUUCGGCGUCAGGCGGGUCCCCUUGCGGGGGCCCUCCGGCCGGAACCCAAACCCUGAACAACAGUGAAGCCUGAAGUAACAAGCAAAUAGUUA
rnacentral:misc_RNA from 2 species